UACGUAGGGGGCUAGCGUUGUCCGGAAUCAUUGGGCGUAAAGAGCGCGUAGGCGGCCAGAUAAGUCCGGUGUGAAAGUCACAGGCUCAACCUGUGAAUGCCGCUGGAAACUGUCUGGCUUGAGUCCGGGAGGGGCGAGUGGAAUUCCUGGUGUAGCGGUGAAAUGCGCAGAUAUCAGGAGGAACACCAAUGGCGAAGGCAGCUCGCUGGGACGUGACUGACGCUGAGACGCGAAAGCGUGGGGAGCAAACAGG
rnacentral:rRNA from 1 species